UACGUAGGGUGCAAGCGUUGUCCGGAAUUAUUGGGCGUAAAGAGCUCGUAGGCGGUCUGUCACGUCGGCUGUGAAAACCCGAGGCUCAACCUCGGGCCUGCAGUCGAUACGGGCAAACUAGAGUACUGCAGGGGAGACUGGAAUUCCUGGUGUAGCGGUGAAAUGCGCAGAUAUCAGGAGGAACACCGGUGGCGAAGGCGGGGUCUCUGGGCAGUAACUGACGUGGAGGAGCGAAAAGCGUGGGGGAGCGAAACAGG
rnacentral:rRNA from 1 species